UCMUGCAAGUCGAGCGGACAGAAGGGAGCUUGCUCCCGGAUGUUAGCGGCGGACGGGUGAGUAACACGUGGGUAACCUGCCUGUAAGACUGGGAUAACUCCGGGAAACCGGAGCUAAUACCGGAUAGUUCCUUGAACCGCAUGGUUCAAGGAUGAAAGACGGUUUCGGCUGUCACUUACAGAUGGACCCGCGGCGCAUUAGCUAGUUGGUGGGGUAAUGGCUCACCAAGGCGACGAUGCGUAGCCGACCUGAGAGGGUGAUCGGCCACACUGGGACUGAGACACGGCCCAGACUCCUACGGGAGGCAGCAGUAGGGAAUCUUCCGCAAUGGACGAAAGUCUGACGGAGCAACGCCGCGUGAGUGAUGAAGGUUUUCGGAUCGUAAAGCUCUGUUGUUAGGGAAGAACAAGUGCGAGAGUAACUGCUCGCACCUUGACGGUACCUAACCAGAAAGCCACGGCUAACUACGUGCCAGCAGCCGCGGUAAUACGUAGGUGGCAAGCGUUGUCCGGAAUUAUUGGGCGUAAAGGGCUCGCAGGCGGUUUCUUAAGUCUGAUGUGAAAGCCCCCGGCUCAACCGGGGAGGGUCAUUGGAAACUGGGAAACUUGAGUGCAGAAGAGGAGAGUGGAAUUCCACGUGUAGCGGUGAAAUGCGUAGAGAAUGUGGAGGAACACCGGUGGCGAAGGCGACUCUCUGGUCUGUAACUGACGCUGAGGAGCGAAAGCGUGGGGAGCGAACAGGAUUAGAUACCCCUGGUAGUCCACGCCGUAAACGAUGAGUGCUAAGKGUUUUGGGGGGUUUCCGCCCCUUAGUGCUGCAGCUAACGCAUUAAGCACUCCGCCUGGGGGAGUACGGUCGCAAGACUGAAACUCAAAGGAAUUGACGGGGGCCGCACAAGCGGUGGAGCAUGUGGUUUAAUUCGAAGCAACGCGAAGAACCUUACCAGGUCUUGACAUCCUCUGACAACCCUAGAGAUAGGGCUUUCCCUUCGGGGACAAAAUGACAGGUGGUGCAU
rnacentral:rRNA from 1 species